UUCCCAUUCCGAACAGAGAAGUUAAGCCCGCUUGCGCCGAUGGUACUGCUAUACCAAGUGGGAGAGUAGGUAGCCGCCAUCU
rnacentral:rRNA from 1 species